GGAGUAGGCAAAUCCGCUCUUAUUCGCGAGCCCGAUCGGAAAUGAUGUCUUCGGAUUGAUUGAUUCUCAUAGUUCUGGUGCCUAGAAAAACCGCUAAACUUAUGUAUAUAUAACUCGUACUCAGAUCAGACACAUGUAGGAUAGUAGAGAAUACUAAGGCAAUCGAGAUAACUAAUGAUUAAGGAACUUGGCAAAUUAGCGGGCGUAAGUUAGCAAUAAGCCCUGCCUAUAGCAAUAUAGGCCGCAGCGAAUGACGUGGGGGGGACUGUUUAUCAAAAACACAGCUUCCUGCUAACUCGAAAGAGGAUGUAUAGGAAGUGAUGCCUGUCCAAUGCCAGAAUGUUAUGCUCUCUUGUUCACGCUCGAGAGUUAAGCACUGGUGAAUGACGGCCGUAACUAUGACGGUCCUAAGGUAGCGAAGUACCUUGUCGGGUAAGUUCCGACGCGCAUGAAUGGCACAACCAUCCCCACACUGUCUUAAUCUUAGACUCGGUGAAAUUACAUUCCCGGUAAAAAUGCCGGGUAGUUGCAGUUAGACGGAAAGACCCUGUGAAGCUUUACUGUAAAUUGAUAUUGGACUGUAGUAUAAAUUGCUCAGCAUAAGUGGGAGACUUUGAUAUCUGGUUUUUGGACCAGGUUGAGUCACAAGUGAGAUACCACUCAAUAUAUAUAGCAUUUCUAAUCCCGUUUAAAGCGGGAAACAGCGCCAGUUGGUCAGUUUACCUGGGGCGGGUGCCUCCUAAAAAGUAACGGAGGCGUACAAAGGUUCGCUUACCACGGAUGGAAACCGUGGUGGACGUAUAUUCGCACAAGCGAGCUUAACUGUAAGACUAACAGGUCGAACAGAUACGAAAGUAGGUUAAAGUGAUCCGGAUCUUCCAUGUGGAAGGGGAUCCGCUCAACGGAUAAAAGUUACUCCGGGGAUAACAGGCUAAUGGAGCCUAAGCGUUCACAGCGACGGCUCCGUUUGGCACCUCGAUGUCGACUCGUCGCAUCCUGGGGCUGUAGAAGGUCCCAAGGGUUGGGCUGUUCGCCCAUUAAAGCGGGACGCGAGUUGGGUUCAGAACGUCGUGAGACAGUUCGGUCCCUAUCUACUGUAACCGUAAGCAAUUUGAGAAACGCUGUCCCUAGUACGAGAGGACCGGGAUGGACUAGCCUCUAGUUAACCAGUUGUCACAUCAGUGGCACAGCUGGAUAGCCACGCUGGGAAAAGAUAACCACUGAAAGCAUCUAAGUGGGAAACUUGUUUCAAGAUUAGAUUGCUCUCUCUUCGGAGGUAAGAUCCCCAGUAGACUACUGGGUUGAUAGGUGUUAUGUGUACGUCCGGUAACGGAUUUAGCAGAGACAUACUAAUAGAUCGAGCGAGAUUUAUUG
rnacentral:rRNA from 1 species